rnacentral:rRNA from 1 species
AGUGAACGCUGGCGGUAGGCCUAACACAUGCAAGUCGAACGGCAGCACAGUAAGAGCUUGCUCUUACGGGUGGCGAGUGGCGGACGGGUGAGGAAUACAUCGGAAUCUACUUUUUCGUGGGGGAUAACGUAGGGAAACUUACGCUAAUACCGCAUACGACCUACGGGUGAAAGCAGGGGAUCUUCGGACCUUGCGCGAUUGAAUGAGCCGAUGUCGGAUUAGCUAGUUGGCGGGGUAAAGGCCCACCAAGGCGACGAUCCGUAGCUGGUCUGAGAGGAUGAUCGGGGACACUGGAACGGAGACAGGGUCCAGGGUCCUAAGGGAGGCAGCAGUGGGGAAUAGUGGACAAUGGGCGCAAGCAUGAUACAGACAUACCGCGUGGGUGAAGAAGGCGUGCGGGUUGUGAAGCCGUUUUGUUGGGAAAGAAAAGCAGCAGGUUAAGACCCAGCUGUUCUGACGGUACCCAAAGAAUAAGCACCGGCUAACUUCGUG